CGGGGCGGCUGCGUUGCUAGCCACGCGCGGCCCCGCUUCCCCGCUCGCUCGACCUCUCCUCACGCGCGGCCACCCCUGGGACUGCCUCCUGCCGGUGCUGGGCUAUGCCCUGCUGCGGAGCAGCAACAUCGGCGCUGCGCCUGGGCCACUCGUGUAUGACGACGACCUUCCUCGCUGCUUGUUGUUAUGAAUUCAGAGCGGUUUGGGUGCUUUCGGUGUGAAUGAAACAUGGUGAUUGCAGCUGGCCAGCAAUUUUGCUUCAGCAGUCAGCAAAAGACACUAUCCAUUCCCAUUCCUAUCUCGAUGAAUAAUCUGGCUGUCAGCACAAUCUUUCUGCUCGCAGGGAACCCAAGAAGGAUGGGGGAUGCCCACAUGUUAUGGCAAAGCAACAAAGGGGCCAAGCAGUGUGGAAGGCGUUCCAGUGCCUCAGAUUGAGCAACUGAUCAGUCAACCCAGAGGGUUAAAGGAACAGCAGCCAGCUGGUACCUGAGAGGCAUAGAAGGAGAAAGCACACUACAGACGCCAGCAAAAGGUGGCUGGCUGGUGAGGCUGUUGGAAAUGAAACUCUAUGUAUGAAGGCCAAGUGAGUCAUGCAGGAACUUGAGAAGUUCAGGCCAAAGAACUCCAGCAUUAAAAUUCUGAGUGCAAUUUUAACAUUUUACCUAAUGUACUAUACUGUAAUUCUUAAGAUUAGAUGAAUCUACAUUACAACAUAGACAGGGCCACACUGAAAACAUCACCUGUGAGUUUGGUUCCUCUCCCCCCAUAAAGCAUAUUACAAUUUA